GGGUUGUGAGGUUAAGCGACUAAGCGUACACGGUGGAUGCCCUGGCAGUCAGAGGCGAUGAAGGACGUGCUAAUCUGCGAAAAGCGCCGGCGAGGUGAUAUGAACCUUUGACCCGGCGAUGUCCGAAUGGGGAAACCCAGUGUGAUUCGUCACACUAUCGUUAACUGAAUACAUAGGUUAACGAGGCGAACCGGGGGAACUGAAACAUCUAAGUACCCCGAGGAAAAGAAAUCAACCGAGAUUCCCCCAGUAGCGGCGAGCGAACGGGGAGCAGCCCAGAGUCUGAAUCAGCUUGUGUGUUAGUGGAAGCGUCUGGAAAGUCGCACGGUACAGGGUGACAGUCCCGUACACGAAAGCACACAGGUUGUGAACUCGAAGAGUAGGGCGGGACACGUGGUAUCCUGUCUGAAUAUGGGGGGACCAUCCUCCAAGGCUAAAUACUCCUGACUGACCGAUAGUGAACCAGUACCGUGAGGGAAAGGCGAAAAGAACCCCGGCGAGGGGAGUGAAAAAGAACCUGAAACCGUGUACGUACAAGCAGUGGGAGCACCUUCGUGGUGUGACUGCGUACCUUUUGUAUAAUGGGUCAGCGACUUAUAUUCUGUAGCAAGGUUAACCGUAUAGGGGAGCCGAAGGGAAACCGAGUCUUAACUGGGCGUUAAGUUGCAGGGUAUAGACCCGAAACCCGGUGAUCUAGCCAUGGGCAGGUUGAAGGUUGGGUAACACUAACUGGAGGACCGAACCGACUAAUGUUGAAAAAUUAGCGGAUGACUUGUGGCUGGGGGUGAAAGGCCAAUCAAACCGGGAGAUAGCUGGUUCUCCCCGAAAGCUAUUUAGGUAGCGCCUCGUGAACUCAUCUUCGGGGGUAGAGCACUGUUUCGGCUAGGGGGCCAUCCCGGCUUACCAACCCGAUGCAAACUACGAAUACCGAAGAAUGUUAUCACGGGAGACACACGGCGGGUGCUAACGUCCGUCGUGAAGAGGGAAACAACCCAGACCGCCAGCUAAGGUCCCAAAGUCAUGGUUAAGUGGGAAACGAUGUGGGAAGGCACAGACAGCCAGGAUGUUGGCUUAGAAGCAGCCAUCAUUUAAAGAAAGCGUAAUAGCUCACUGGUCGAGUCGGCCUGCGCGGAAGAUGUAACGGGGCUAAACCAUGCACCGAAGCUGCGGCAGCGACGCUUAUGCGUUGUUGGGUAGGGGAGCGUUCUGUAAGCCGUUGAAGGUGUGCUGUGAGGCAUGCUGGAGGUAUCAGAAGUGCGAAUGCUGACAUAAGUAACGAUAAAGCGGGUGAAAAGCCCGCUCGCCGGAAGACCAAGGGUUCCUGUCCAACGUUAAUCGGGGCAGGGUGAGUCGACCCCUAAGGCGAGGCCGAAAGGCGUAGUCGAUGGGAAACAGGUUAAUAUUCCUGUACUUGGUGUUACUGCGAAGGGGGGACGGAGAAGGCUAUGUUAGCCGGGCGACGGUUGUCCCGGUUUAAGCAUGUAGGCGGAACGAUUAGGUAAAUCCGGUCGUUUUUUAACGCUGAGGUGUGAUGACGAGGCACUACGGUGCUGAAGUAACAAAUGCCCUGCUUCCAGGAAAAGCCUCUAAGCAUCAGGUAACAUUAAAUCGUACCCCAAACCGACACAGGUGGUCAGGUAGAGAAUACCAAGGCGCUUGAGAGAACUCGGGUGAAGGAACUAGGCAAAAUGGUGCCGUAACUUCGGGAGAAGGCACGCUGAUAUGUAGGUGAAGCCCCUGCGGGUGGAGCUGAAAUCAGUCGAAGAUACCAGCUGGCUGCAACUGUUUAUUAAAAACACAGCACUGUGCAAACACGAAAGUGGACGUAUACGGUGUGACGCCUGCCCGGUGCCGGAAGGUUAAUUGAUGGGGUUAGCGGCAACGCGAAGCUCUUGAUCGAAGCCCCGGUAAACGGCGGCCGUAACUAUAACGGUCCUAAGGUAGCGAAAUUCCUUGUCGGGUAAGUUCCGACCUGCACGAAUGGCGUAAUGAUGGCCAGGCUGUCUCCACCCGAGACUCAGUGAAAUUGAACUCGCUGUGAAGAUGCAGUGUACCCGCGGCAAGACGGAAAGACCCCGUGAACCUUUACUAUAGCUUGACACUGAACACUGGUCCUUGAUGUGUAGGAUAGGUGGGAGGCUUUGAAGCGUGGACGCCAGUCUGCGUGGAGCCGUCCUUGAAAUACCACCCUUUAAUGGCUGGUGUUCUAACGUAGACCCGUAAUCCGGGUUGCGGACAGUGUCUGGUGGGUAGUUUGACUGGGGCGGUCUCCUCCCAAAGAGUAACGGAGGAGCACGAAGGUUAGCUAAUCCUGGUCGGACAUCAGGAGGUUAGUGCAAUGGCAUAAGCUAGCUUGACUGCGAGAGUGACGGCUCGAGCAGGUGCGAAAGCAGGUCAUAGUGAUCCGGUGGUUCUGAAUGGAAGGGCCAUCGCUCAACGGAUAAAAGGUACUCCGGGGAUAACAGGCUGAUACCGCCCAAGAGUUCAUAUCGACGGCGGUGUUUGGCACCUCGAUGUCGGCUCAUCACAUCCUGGGGCUGAAGUAGGUCCCAAGGGUAUGGCUGUUCGCCAUUUAAAGUGGUACGCGAGCUGGGUUUAGAACGUCGUGAGACAGUUCGGUCCCUAUCUGCCGUGGGCGCUGGAGAAUUGAGGGGGGCUGCUCCUAGUACGAGAGGACCGGAGUGGACGCAUCACUGGUGUUCGGGUUGUCAUGCCAAUGGCACUGCCCGGUAGCUAAAUGCGGAAAAGAUAAGUGCUGAAAGCAUCUAAGCACGAAACUUGCCCCGAGAUGAGUUCUCCCUGAGACUUUAAGUCUCCUGAAGGAACGUUGAAGACGACGACGUUGAUAGGUCGGGUGUGUAAGCGCAGCGAUGCGUUGAGCUAACCGAUACUAAUGAACCGUGAGGCUUAACCUUACAACGCCGAAG
rnacentral:rRNA from 1 species